GAAGAGCACUCCUACGGGAGGCAGCAGUGGGGAAUAUUGCACAAUGGGCGCAAGCCUGAUGCAGCCAUGCCGCGUGUAUGAAGAAGGCCUUCGGGUUGUAAAGUACUUUCAGCAGUGAGGAAGGUGGGUAUGUUAAUAGCAUACUCAUUUGACGUUAGCUGCAGAAGAAGCACCGGCUAACUCCGUGCCAGCAGCCGCGGUAAUACGGAGGGUGCGAGCGUUAAUCGGAAUUACUGGGCGUAAAGCGCAUGCAGGUGGUUUGUUAAGUCAGAUGUGAAAGCCCGGGGCUCAACCUCGGAAUUGCAUUUGAAACUGGCAAACUAGAGUACUGUAGAGGGGGUAGAAUUUCAGGUGUAGCGGUGAAAUGCGUAGAGAUCUGAGGGAAUACCGGUGGCGAAGGCGGCCCCCUGGACAGAUACUGACACUCAGAUGCGAAAGCGUGGGGAGCAAACAGGAUUAGAUACCCUGGUAG
rnacentral:rRNA from 1 species